UAUCUCCAAAUAUCAGGAAUGCGAACAAAGGGAGAGGCUGUUUCUCUGUCACGCCAACGUGCAGAAGGUUGGGGCCGCUGUGCGGCUUUCCUCUUACUCCUCAAGACUCAAGUUCCUGCUGUGAAAAUUAAUGUGGACAGCUGACUGGAAAACAGGAAGAGAGAAGGUGACACAUACCAGGGGCUGUCAUUGCCUGCUUCAGGAGAGAGGGGACAGAAUCGCUCAGAUUCAUUGCCUGAUACUCACAGCACAAGGAACUCCUCAGAUGGCCACUAGCUCUCUGCAGGACUCAAGUGCUUCCAUCAGCUAGCUCUAAGUUCGCCAAGGAUGCUUUGCUUCUGACACAUUCAUGACCAUGAUGCACUUAAUGUACAGAUAAACAUUACAUAAGGAUAAGACAAAUCAUGAGGGGCACAGCAUUCCUAUGAAAAGUGGACUAAAU